rnacentral:lncRNA from 1 species
UUUUAAUAUGUUAUUAGGUAUCCAAAUUUGAUAUAUAUAUUUUUUAAUGUGAUACUUAUGUUAUUUUGGCGUUAGUCAUCGGCAAGAACCAAAGCAAGAAGCAAAUAAGGACAGAAAUGAUAUACACAUUCUUUAACAAGAAUCAAUUAUGCAGAACUAUAUUGAGCAAUGUUGCAAUUCACAGAAACCAAUCACUUGUUUGCAAAUGAGAAGAAAAUUUCAAUUAUGCAGACCUGUUUGCUCCAAAACCAUGUACUAAAACCAAGGCAGGACCGCUACUCCCAGUUCCAUGUACUACAGAAAUGAUAACCGAAAUGACAUAUUCUUUAACAGGUAACUGCUUCAAGAUAUGCAUUCUUUAAUGUGAAGAUGGUCAGUGUUUACGUUUUUGUAUAUACUUGACUAAUUCCUCGUCGGGGAGAUCCCCUCUCUUUAACGAGCGGGCUAGCUAAGAUUUAAAGUGCAAAUGCGCAAAUCGCAGAAGCUCAUGUCUUUCUUUGGCUUCACCCUCGCCAGCCAAUGUUGCGUUCUUCAUCUGCGGGGACCAUUUAGGUUUUCGUUUAUGUAAUUUAGGACUGACAAGUAGUUUUUUGGCUUUGCCAUCGUCGUGAGGGCAAGGCGCUUUCUUUAGGACCACGGCGAAGAGAGCCAACAUAUCUUUCGACCAUCUCGGAGGUGCCAUGGUGAAACUAGGGGUACGGUUUUUGCGGGAAUACAAGAUGAUCAAGAGUCUGUAAGCAAGAGGGGUGAUUUUGGCUCUCUGCAAAAUUGGUGGGGAAGUCAGUUCUUAAAGAAGUUGAAAGCAGCUAGCGCCUGGGGUUAUUUUCCCGGUCGGUCCUUACGAUUUUUUGUACUUUUUCAAUUUAAUCCUGUUCAUUUUUUUGCUUUUUAAUUUUUUCCCUGUGAUUUUCGCAUUGUUUCAUUUAGUCCACACUGGAACUGUGCGUUUUGAAAGAGAGGGAAUAUUUUCCAUUUUGGUCCCUCUAUCUUAUUCACGCAUUACGAUUAAAUCCUUCACCUUAUUUUAAUUCCCAAUUCCUCCCCCAAAAUUUUGUUUGGCUUUCAAUUUCAGUCCUUAUUAUUUUUUUAUUUUUUUAAAAUACUUUUGCAUUUUUAUAUUUUAUAUUUUUAUUAUUUAAAUUUCUACUUUUAAGUUCAAUUUAAUCUUGAUUUAAUCCUUAAUCUAUUUUAUUUCAACCUUUCCACAAACUUUUUAUUUUAUUUUAUUUAUUUAUUAUUAUUUCUUCUUCCUUUU